AUGAACGCUGGCGGCGUGCCUAAUACCUGCAAGUCGAGCGAACAGACGAGGAGCUUGCUCCUCUGACGUUAGCGGCGGACGGGUGAGUAACACGUGGAUAACCUACCUAUAAGACUGGGAUAACUUCGGGAAACCGGAGCUAAUACCGGAUAAUAUAUUGAACCGCAUGGUUCAAUAGUGAAAGACGGUUUUGCUGUCACUUAUAGAUGGAUCCGCGCCGCAUUAGCUAGUUGGUAAGGUAACGGCUUACCAAGGCAACGAUGCGUAGCCGACCUGAGAGGGUGAUUGGCCACACUGGAACUGAGACACGGUCCAGACUCCUACGGGAGGCAGCAGUAGGGAAUCUUCCGCAAUGGGCGAAAGCCUGACGGAGCAACGCCGCGUGAGUGAUGAAGGUCUUCGGAUCGUAAAACUCUGUUAUUAGGGAAGAACAAAUGUGUAAGUAACUAUGCACGUCUUGACGGUACCUAAUCAGAAAGCCACGGCUAACUACGUG
rnacentral:rRNA from 1 species